rnacentral:rRNA from 1 species
CAUUGGGCCUGAUGCUAUUGCACCACAUGUGUUUUUCUUUGAAACAAACUUGCUUUGGCGGUGGGCCCAGCCUGCCGCCAGAGGUCUAAACUUACAACCAAUUUUUUAUCAACUUGUCACACCAGAUUAUUACUAAUAGUCAAAACUUUCAACAACGGAUCUCUUGGUUCUCGCAUCGAUGAAGAACGCAGCGAAAUGCGAUACGUAAUAUGAAUUGCAGAUAUUCGUGAAUCAUCGAAUCUUUGAACGCACAUUGCGCCCUCUGGUAUUCCGGAGGGCAUGCCUGUUUGAGCGUCGUUUCUCCCUCAAACCGCUGGGUUUGGUGUUGAGCAAUACGACUUGGGUUUGCUUGAAAGACGGUAGUGGUAAGGCGGGAUCGCUUUGACAAUGGCUUAGGUCUAACCAAAAACAUUGCUUGCGGCGGUAACGUCUACCACGUAUAUCUUCAAACUUUGACCUCAAAUCAGGUAGGACUACCCGCUGAACUUAAGCAUAUCAAUAAGGCGGAGGAA